AUAUAUAUAUAUUGGUCUCUGCCGGUCUCUGCCGGUCUCUGCCGAGCGGUGGAGGCUGUGUGCUGUUUUUCAAUCGCCCAAACAGGACGAGACUAGCUGUCCAAUUGCUGACAAGAAUAUCAAAGGGUAGGAAUGGGAAUGUAUCCAAUCAGCGUCGACGUUGUUUCAGAACGUUUCAGAAGCAUGAUGGGCGAUGGAGCUACUGCCAAAGGUUUCGUUGGUGUUCGGUAGAACUCGGCAGAGUCGUUUUUGGUCGUGACGCAGAUGUAACAUGGACGCCGCCAGUGAGCCUACAACCAGCAAGGAUACCGGAUCUCAGAAGCCACUGAAUUCAGUUCGGUCUCUUCUCCAAUAUCCGUUCGAGAGGAGAACUAUGGUGGAAAAACUUAAUGUCAAAGAGCUUGGACCAGAUCAGCCCGACGUAAAGAUAAGCCAGCAGGAGAAGGAGAGAGAUAAGGCAUGGAUGAGUCAGGAGUUACAGACAUGAAACAUUUUUCUGAGAAGGUGAAGAAACACGAGUCAUCCCGGGCACACAUGGACAACAACACUGUGAAGCUAGCCAUGCUAGGCAGCAGAGCUAACGUUGCCAUGCAGGGAACAACAGCAGCUGGGUGCAGAGGUUUUUCACACCAUCCUGAGCCAUGCAAAAGAAGAUUCUUGUCACCACACCCAUGACCACAGCCGAAUCAGAAAGGUGCUUUUCUACUUUAAAGAGGAUUAAGACUUUCCUUGAGGAACACCAUGACACAGGAUGGGCUGAAUGCUCUUGCCAUGCUCUCCAUGGAAAAAAAGUUUGUCACAAACAUUCCUGACUUCAAUAAAAAGCUAAUCGAGAGCUUUGCCACUCAGAAGGACAGAAGGGCAAAAUUUCUGUACAAAUGAGGUAUCACACACACACAAAUGCAUCCACUUGAUCUUUGUAUAAAGUUGACCUUGGCACAACACUCCAGAAAUAUUUAACAGUGUAAAUUUCUGGCAUUUUGUCUAAGUAGUGUUUACUACCAUUACUGUAACAGUGACCUGCUCAUAAUUUUUCGUGUUCACUCAAAUGUUGAAAUUAAACAAAAUGUUUUUGUUA